rnacentral:rRNA from 1 species
UACAGGGGGUGCAAACGUUGCUCGGAAUCACUGGGCGUAAAGGGUGCGUAGGCGGGUUUUUAAGUCAGAGGUGAAAUCCUGGAGCUCAACUCCAGAACUGCCUUUGAUACUGAGAAUCUUGAGUACGGGAGAGGUGAGUGGAACUGCGAGUGUAGAGGUGAAAUUCGUAGAUAUUCGCAAGAACACCAGUGGCGAAGGCGGCUCACUGGCCCGUAACUGACGCUGAGGCACGAAAGCGUGGGGAGCAAACAGG